UACUUGGUUGAUCCUGCCAAGGAAGCACACUUAGGUCAUAGAUUAAGCCAUGCAAGUGUUAGUUCAGGUAACGAAACUGCGAAUAGCUCAUUAAUACGCUCAGAAUCUAUUUGGCGGCGACCAACAGGUCUUAAAUGGAUAGCAGCAGCAACUCUGGUGCUAAUACAUGCGAUUGUUUCUCCAGAUGUGAAUUAUGGAGGAAAAGUUGACCUCAUCAGAGGCACGCCAUUCGACUGAGUGACCUAUCAGCUUGUACUUAGGGUCUUUACCUAGGUAGGCUAUCACGGGUAACGGGCGGUUACCGUCGGACUGCCGGAGAAGGCGCCUGAGAGAUAGCGACUAUAUCCACGGGUAGCAGCAGGCGCGAAACUUUCCCACUCGAGACUUUCGGAGGAGGUAAUGACCAGUUCCAUUGGUGCCUUUUGGUACUGUGGAUAGGGGUACGGUUUUCCACCGUACCGAAACCUAGCAGAGGGCCAGUCUGGUGCCAGCAGCUGCGGUAAUUCCAGCUCUGCGAGUUUGCUCCCAUAUUGUUGCAGUUAAAACGCCCGUAGUCUGAAUUGGCCAGCAAUGGUCGUACGUAUUUUUACGUUCACUGUGAACAAAUCAGGACGCUUAGAGUAUGGCCACAUGAAUGACUCAGCGCAGUAUGAAGUCUUUGUUUUCUUCCGAAAACAAGCUCAAUGAGAGCCAUCGGGGGUAGAUCUAUCUCAUGACGAGUGGUGGAAUACUUUGACUCAUGAGAGAGAAGCUGAGGCGAAGGCGUCUACCUAGAGGGUUUCUGUCGAUCAAGGGCGAGAGUAGGAGUAUCCAACAGGAUUAGAGACCCUGGUAGUUCCUACCUUAAACGAUGCCGACAGGAGUUGUCAUUUGUAAUGGCAGAUCUUUGAGAAAUCAUAGUUCUUGGGCUCUGGGGACUACGACCG
rnacentral:ncRNA from 1 species